rnacentral:rRNA from 1 species
CAGCCUGCCCAGUGACUACGGGUUCAACGGCCGCGGUAUUUUGACCGUGCAAAGGUAGCGCAAUCACUUGUCUUUUAAAUAGAGACCUGUAUGAAUGGCCAAACGAGGGCUUAACUGUCUCCCCCUUCCAGUCAGUGAAAUUGAUCUAUCCGUGCAGAAGCGGAUAUAAUAGUACAAGACGAGAAGACCCUUUGGAGCUUAAGGUACAAAGUUCAACCACGUUAAACAACUCCGAAAAAAGCAGAAACUUAAUGGAAAGUGAAAUUUUACCUUCGGUUGGGGCGACCGCGGAGGAAAAACCAGCCUCCGAGUGGAAUGGGCUAAAUCCCUAAAACCAAGAGAAACAUCUCUAAGCCGCAGAACAUCUGACCAAAAAUGAUCCGGCCAAUCGACCGAUCAACGAACCAAGUUACCCUAGGGAUAACAGCGCAAUCCUCUCCCAGAGUCCAUAUCGACGAGGGGGUUUACGACCUCGAUGUUGGAUCAGGACAUCCUAAUGGUGCAGCCGCUAUACGUGAUCU